UCCAUAAAUUUCUUUUAGAAUUAACCUCGAAUGCUGCUGUGUCCAUCCCCACACCCGGGCUGCCAAAUUUAUGUCAGCCCUGUUGCUCAGCCACAAGUGCUGUCCUCACUUUCCUUUCUCUGGUCAUUCCCAAGCCAAGGUUUGAAGUUUCCAGGUUGGUUUUGUGAGCGUUGCUUCUCGCAGGAGCAGCGAGGGUGAUCUCACAGCUGGGGAAGUGCUGAUUUCCCACAGCCUCUCAUGGAUUUUGUGCAGGAAGACAAGUGGGGAGUGGAAUAAAGAUGAAGAAAUAUUUUGGUUCUGGAAUACAUUUUAGAGGAUAGUAAAGACUGGAAAAAAAAGAGCAAAUACUGCAGACGGUGUUUCUUUGCCACAAUCCAUGCUCUUCAUUCACACUCUGAGAGGCCACGGGAACGGGCUCAGCCUCUCCUGUUCCAACAGAUUUCCUGGAAAACAUACAGAUCAAGCAGUUCCUAUUUUCAGGCUUUGGACUGCAUGGGAUUUCAAAACAGCAAGGGAACACCAUCAGAUCUUCAAAAUAAGACCAAAAACCCAACUAGAUGUCAGGGGAGCAUUGAAGUCCUGUUUAUCCAGAUGAUUGUGGAAGUGGGUGACAUUUUCAGCAUGGUGGCAUUUCAAAUUUUCAACAUGCUUUUGAAAGGAAGAUGCCCUGCAAAUACCAUAUCUGUGUUCUCUCUUCUUUUAAUCUGCUCUGACUUAGGUUACACUGAGAUUCCUCUGGCUGCAGCCUCUCUUCAUCUAAAGCUGGUGGCAUCAUCCAAUUUAGGGACAGACACAACCACAGUGGCUCUCACAGCACUUCAGGUGUUUCUCCCUCUCUUUUCCUUUAACACCAGAUGCCUUUGUGCUUUAUUUCCAUUCAGCUUAAGAGGUCUUCUCAGAAGUUUUGAUUCCACUGUCUUCUCUAGAGCUUCUUCUUUCCUCUUCACAUUGAUUUUCUCUGUCCUGGCCUCUCUUAGUUCUAUUUAGAGACUAUUUCUGAAGCACUGAUGAGGUUUAAUUGGCCCUGUAU